CAUAACCAGUAGUAUCUACCAGGACUAAUGAAUCAGAACCAGUAGUAUCUACCAGGAAUAAUGAGUCAGAAUCAGUAGUAUCUACCAGGAAUAAUGAAUCAGAACCAGUAGUAUCUACCAGGAAUAAUGAAUCAGAACCAGUAGUAUCUACCAGGAAUAAUUAAUCAUAACCAGCAAUAUCUACCAGGAAUAAUUAAUCAUAACCAGUAGUAUCUACCAGGAAUAAUGAAUCAUAGCCAGUAGUAUCUACCAGGAAUAAUGAAACAUAACCAGUAGUAUUUACCAGGAAUAAUGAGCCAUAACCAGUAAUAUCUACCAGGAAUAAUGAAACAUAACCAGUAGUAUCUACCAGGAAUAAUGAAUCAUAACCAGUAACAUCUACCGGGAAUCAUGAAACAUAACCAGUAGUAUCUACCAGGAAUAAUGAAUCAUAACCAGUAGUAUCUACCAGGAAUAAUGAAUCAGAACCAGUAGUAUAUUCCAGGAAUAAUGAAUCAUAACCAGUAGUAUCUACCAGGAAUAAUGCAUCAGAACCAGUAACAUCUACCGGGAAUCAUGAAACAUAACCAGUAGUAUCUACCAGGAAUAAUGAGUCAUAACCAGUAAUAUCUACCAGGAAUCAUGAAACAUAAUCAGUAGUAUCUACCAGGAAUAAUGAGUCAUAACCAGUAGUAUCUACCAGGAAUAAUGAAUCAUAACAAGUAGUAUAUAGAAUGAUAAGAGAUGUUUGGUGAAUCUAUGAAUUAUGUAUUGACUGGAGUCACUCAAAAAAUAAUAAUAUUGGAUAUUUUAUUAAAUCACUUAAUCUUGCCAAAGCAUAUUCUGCAUGAGCGGUUACAGUUUUUUUGGAUUGCUUACACACUAAAAUUAAAAGUAGUACACUAUUAGCAAAACCUUACACUCAAGAAGCAAAACAUCAGCCCAUAUUUGCACAACUAUAAGCACAUUGUCAACCUCACACUUGUUGCAAAACUCUACACACAGUGAUUUGCAAAACACUAAACACACUUAACAUACAUUACACACAAAAAUCUAUCAUGAAGUCACGUCCUUGCAAUACCAAAGCACUGACUGUCAAAUUACCACACCGUCCAACCAAUUGGUUCAACAGUCAUCAGGUGUGCAAACACUCGUUUGCUUAAUUGUAGACACACCAAUCAGGUGUAUAAGCAUUAUAAAAAGCAGCAGGUGAGUUCAUCGGUCUUCAAGCACAAUGGAAAGAGUCAGAGAAAGAGUAAGACGAGGAGGAGGAGGAGGACGACGACGAGGAGGAGGAGGAGGAGGAGGAGCACGAGGAGAACGAGGAGGACGAGGAGGAGGAGGAAGUGGAAGAAGAGGAAGAGGAAGACAAGAAGGUGCUCAAAGAGGACCGAAUCUGACAAAUGAGAUCCGCGCAACACUGGUUGAACAUGUUGUCAACCACGGCCUGAUGCUGAGGGAGGCUGGACUGCGAGUACAGCCAAAUCUAAGCCGAUAUACAGUGGCAAGUGUGAUGAGAACAUUACGACUGGAAAAUAGGUACUGUAAAAAUAUCAUCAUAUCAAAAACAUCUGCACGGUUUCAGUAACUGCUUACAGUACUGUAUUCUAUGCACUAUCAGCACUUCUGUUACCUUUUCCUGUGAAAUUACUGUACUAUUGUAUACUGAUUUUUUUUUCUACAUAGGAUUGAGGGUCAGGGACGACAAGGGGGAAGGCCUUCUAUGUUCACAGAACAGCAAGAGAGGGAGAUAGUAAACAUGGUUUUGGCCAACAAUGCUAUAACACUCAAGCAGCUCCAAGCUAACAUUGUCAAUAACCACGCCAUUUUCAACGAUAUCCAUCAGGUAUCAACAUCAACACUGGCAUGCAUCCUAAAAAAACAACAUAUUCAAAUGAAGCAAAUUUAUCGAGUGCCUUUCGAGCGCAAUUCCGAAAGUGUGAAACGACUGCGGCAUGAUUAUGCAGAGAGUUUUACGAAUGGAUGGAGAGGAGAUCCAGCAUGAGUUCAUUUACGUAGAUGAGGCUAGGUUCAACCUGACGAGAACACGAAGGAGGGGAAGAAACAUCAUUGGCCACAGGGCUAUAGUCAAUGUCCCAGGGCAACGUGGGGGUAAUAUAACACUCUGUGCAGCCAUUACACAGAAUGGGGUCCUCCACCGCCAUGCCCAUAUGGGCCCUUACAACACAGCACUCAUACUUACAUUCUUGGACCAAUUGCAUAACAUAACAGCAGCAAAUCAAAUCGAUCAUAUGCAAUACAUUGUUGUCUGGGACAAUGUGUCUUUCCACCGCUCUGCUCUGGUUCAGAACUGGUUUCAGCAACAUCCACAUUUCACCGUCCUAUAUCUUCCACCAUAUUCUCCAUUCCUCAACCCUAUAGAAGAGUUUUGGCGGUGGAAGGUAUAUGAUCUCCGUCUCCAGGCUGAGGUACCCCUCAUCCAAGCCAUGGAGGAGGCCUGUGACCAGAUGGAGGUAGCAGCAAUGCAAGGAUGGAUUCGUCAUUCAAGACGUUUCUUUCCAAGGUGUCUUGCUAAUGACAACAUGCGAUGUUGAUGAAAUUCUCUGGCCAGAUCCAGCUAGGCGAAGAGACAAUGUCUAGUUUUUUUUUUUUUGAACUUACAAUACGUAAAGUGACGUUUGGUUACAGUAUUAUGAAUCUCCAUGUCAACAUUUUGGGCGUGUUGAGAAAUAAAUGAGUUUCUUCAGUCUGCAA